rnacentral:rRNA from 1 species
ACAUGCCUACAAAAUGGCAUUAAGGCACUAGAUCCUAUUAGAACUUCGCAGUUAAGCACACUCGGGCUAGAGUAAUACUGGGAUGGGUGACCGCCCGAAAAGUCCUAGUAUUUUACAUGCA